GAUAUGCGAUAAGUAAUGUGAAUUGCAGAAUUCAGUGAAUCAUCGAAUCUUUGAACGCACAUUGCGCCCGCCAGUAUUCUGGCGGGCAUGCCUGUCCGAGCGUCAUUUCAACCAUCAAGCCCCCGGGCUUGUGUUGGGGACCUGCGGCUGCCCGCAGGCCCUGAAAACCAGUGGCGGGCUCGCUGUCACACCGAGCGUAGUAGCAAUCACCUCGCUCAGGGCGUGCUGCGGGUUCCGGCCGUUAAACAGCCUUACAAAACCCAAGGUUGACCUCGGAUCAGGUAGGAAGACCCGCUGAACUUAAGC
rnacentral:misc_RNA from 1 species